GGCAAGAAGGAUUUAAAAGUCCUCUCUUUCUAUUUGAUGGGGUGCUCUUAUGGUGUGCAGGGGUGCCUUGUGAUUAAAUCCUAUGAAAAAGAAUGUGAAAGAAAGAACUUAUUUUUCUGCAAAACUCUAGAUCUUGAUAUCCUAAGUUUGUUGUAUGUGAUAUAAACUUGUAUGAAAAAUAAAACAUCUAAUCUAUAUGAUUAAAAUUAUUUUAA
rnacentral:lncRNA from 1 species